CGUGCACUGGUGGGGUCCCUUGGCCUGGCCUGUGCCCUCUUGCAAUCUGGGACCCCUCGGGGGAUGUCGGACUGCUGGUUUUGGCCCGGUCCCCACAGGCCAGGCCAAGGGACCCUACCAGUGCACA
rfam:Myotis davidii contig319227, whole genome shotgun sequence.